rnacentral:rRNA from 1 species
UACACUCCUACGGGAGGCAGCAGUGGGGAAUUUUGGACAAUGGGCGAAAGCCUGAUCCAGCAAUGCCGCGUGUGUGAAGAAGGCCUUCGGGUUGUAAAGCACUUUUGUCCGGAAAGAAAUCCUUGGCUCUAAUACAGUCGGGGGAUGACGGUACCGGAAGAAUAAGCACCGGCUAACUACGUGCCAGCAGCCGCGGUAAUACGUAGGGUGCGAGCGUUAAUCGGAAUUACUGGGCGUAAAGCGUGCGCAGGCGGUUUGCUAAGACCGAUGUGAAAUUCCCGGGCUCAACCUGGGAACUGCAUUGGUGACUGGCAGGCUAGAGUAUGGUAGGGGGGGGUAGAAAUCCACGUGUAGCAGUGAAAUGCGUAGGGAUGUGGAGGAAUACCGAUGGCGAAGGCAGCCCCCUGGGCCAAUACUGACGCUCAUGCACGAAAGCGUGGGGAGCAAACAGGAUUAGAUACCCCAGUAGUCCCAUGAU